UGCCAGCAGCCGCGGUAAUACGAAGGGACCUAGCGUAGUUCGGAAUUACUGGGCUUAAAGAGCUCGUAGGUGGUUAAAAAAGUUGGUGGUGAAAUCCCAAGGCUUAACCUUGGAACUGCCAUCAAAACUUUUUGACUAGAGUAUGAUAGAGGUAAGUGGAAUUUCUAGUGUAGCGGUGAAAUGCGUAGAUAUUAGAAAGAACACCGGUGGCGAAAGCGCUCUACUGGACCAUUACUGACACUCAGAGGCGAAAGCUAGGGUAGCAAAAGGGAUUAGAUA
rnacentral:rRNA from 1 species